CCCACGCCUCUGCUGCCGAAGCCACGUCCUUGCGUCUCCAUCCUUUGCAGCCAGCAUUGCCCGCAGCUCAACGCCAGUGAAUCUAGCGUCUGCAACUUUAGCGAUCCCUUCGCUGUUUUUGUCUCAAUUGGGCCGCGCGAAGUCGAUUAAGGAGACCGCCAGCCCACUUCCAAUUUCGGCCAGCAUCUCCAGCUGUCUUCGGCCCAUCUCCCUCGUAGCAAUUCGGCCCAGAGUCCACCGAAUUUCAACCCAACUCAGCCCAGUUCGCAAUUGUCAUCACCAGCUUAGUCUAGCAGAUUUUCAACGACCCAGCAGUUGGGCCCGUUCAUGAGCCCAAGCAAUUUCGAUCAGCCCACUUGAAGCCCAGGCCCAGACUUUGAAGCCCAGCAAGUUAAGCCCAAGAUUCCAGCGAGGCCCAAGCAAGUUCAGCCCAAGCCCAGCUCUUGAUGUGGGCUUGCGAGGCUAGUAGGCCCGGCCCGAGUGUCCGUCAACGCCGUUGAAAGUUCGGGUUUUGGCCGCCGUCGCGGUGUUCCGGUCUUCGCUUUGCCAAGUGAGUAAUCUCACUAAUCUUUGCUUAGUAAACUAAUGAUGCUUAAGGGUUGAUUAGAUUUAGUAAGUGCAAUUAGGUGGUUAGAUUAGCAUGGAUUAGUGAUUAUUAGUUAAUUGUAUUGCAUAUUAGUUAAGUGGUUAGUGUACUUAGCUAGAAAAUUGCCUAUAUUAUUUAUCGAAUGCAUCUUGGGAUUUUUCCUAACCCGUUUCGGGCUCCAAUAAGGCAUUACAUGCCUAAAUUGGAUUUUUAGUAUUUAAUUAUUAAUUUCCGAAUUUAUUUUUUCGAAAAUUAGGCUAAGAUAGCCGACGAUCGAAAUUUUGUGUUGAUUUCAGUGGUACUUUUUGUUUAUUUAAUUAAACACUAGUUUGUGGAAAUUGAGUGAGUUGAUGAGUAUGUGGGGAUUUAUCCCAAGAUUGAUCAGUGUCGGUAUUCAAUUAGAAUUUGACUGUGAGAGGUUGUGAGUUGAACCUUGGAAGCUGCUGAAGUAUGACUAUGCCAGUUGGGCCGAGAUUUGCCACAGAAUUUGGAGUCGGUCGCGCCCAUUAGGCCGUAAUCUGCCACCUAUUAAAGGUCGCGUCCGUUGGGCUGUAAAUUGCCACUUGUUAAAGGUCGCGCCUGUUGGGCCGUAAAUUGCCACCUAAUAGAGGUCGUGCCCGUUGGGCUGUAAAUUGCCACCCGAUAGGGGUCGCGCUAGAUAAGGCCAUAAUCCGCCACCUGUUAAAGGUCAUGCCUAUUAGGCCGUAAUUUGCCACCUAAAGAUAGGUUGUGUCCUUUGGACCGUAAUUUGUUGCCAAGAAAUUUGGUAGACUGUGCUCGUGAAGCCAUGAGUAAGAUUUGAGAUUGAAUAAGGGAGAUGACCAGGGAAUGGUCGGAUUGACAUGAAAUCGACUAGGUUGAUUGAUCGAGAUAUUGAUCUGUGAUAUGAUUGCUUGAGUGCCAAUUGAACUGUGCUAAUAUGCAAGUGGAAUCUGAGGCCAAGGUAAGUCCUCUAACUCGUGCAUGUGUAAGCAACCCGGUUAGCGUAUUGGUUUCUUAAUCGAGUCUUAGUGGGGUAGAACUUGCUGAGACAUAAUCUCAUCCCGGUUGUGGGAUAACAUUUCAGGAUCCUGAUGAGAAGCUUGAGGAGAAAGAAAUCGAAGAG
rnacentral:lncRNA from 1 species